rnacentral:rRNA from 1 species
CCUACGGGAGGCAGCAGUGAGGAAUAUUGGUCAAUGGACGAGAGUCUGAACCAGCCAAGUAGCGUGAAGGAUGACUGCCCUAUGGGUUGUAAACUUCUUUUAUAUGGGAAUAAAACGUUCCACGUGUGGGAUUUUGUAUGUACCAUAUGAAUAAGGAUCGGCUAACUCCGUGCCAGCAGCCGCGGUAAUACGGAGGAUCCGAGCGUUAUCCGGAUUUAUUGGGUUUAAAGGGAGCGUAGGUGGAUUGUUAAGUCAGUUGUGAAAGUUUGCGGCUCAACCGUAAAAUUGCAGUUGAAACUGGCAGUCUUGAGUACAGUAGAGGUGGGCGGAAUUCGUGGUGUAGCGGUGAAAUGCUUAGAUAUCACGAAGAACUCUGAUUGCGAAGGCAGUUCACUGGACUGCAACUGACACUGAGGCUCGAAAGUGUGGGUAUCAAACAGGAUUAGAUACCCUUGUAGUC